UACAGAGGGGGGCAAGCGUUAUUCGGAAUUAUUGGGCGUAAAGGGCGCGUAGGCGGCUUGGCAAGUGGAAGGUGAAAUCCCUCGGCUUAACCGAGGAACUGCCCUCCAAACUGCUACGCUUGAGACCGGGAGAGGUAAGUGGAAUUCCGAGUGUAGAGGUGAAAUUCGUAGAUAUUCGGAAGAACACCAGUGGCGAAGGCGACUUACUGGACACAUAUUGACGCUGAGGUGCGAAAGCGUGGGGAGCAAACAGGG
rnacentral:rRNA from 1 species